ensembl:lncRNA
AGUGUGAGAAGAAUGAAGUCACUAGCAUGGCUUAGAGGUGAUCAUUAGGGAGGUGGUGGCCUUGAGGAACAGACCAGCAAAUGAAGCUGAAGAGCAGGGAAGUUCAGUGAUUUGCUCCAGGAUCUUCUAGGUAAUGAAAAUCAGCAGUGACAAUUAGAUCCAGGAUCUCUGUCUCCCAAGGCUAGAAUCUACUCAUUCCAAUAGGGAACCUAACAUUCUCUAGAGAAGAGGAGGAGAGGAGCUAGGAUAGGAGAAAAGAGAAAGAAAGUUUGUGGAGGGAGUGGAGUUAAGACCAAAGUAUGGAGAGUAAGAGAAGCCUAACUGGAGGCAGAGGAAGAUGAAGGUUGAAAAGGUGGGAGUAUGGGGUGGGCAGCUAGGUGGCUCAGUGGAUUUGCAGUCCAGACUAAAGAUGAGAGAUGCUGAGUUCAAUUAUGACUUCAGACACUAGCUUAGGGACCUGGGCAAAUAACUUAACUCUCCUUGCCUUGCCUCUACCAUUUUUCUGCCAUGGGAUCCAGUACUUAGUAUGAAUUCUCAUACUCAAUAUAAAGGUUUUAAGAACUUUUGGGUGAAGAGAGUGUGGGGCUGAACUUGGAGGAGAGAGGAGUGGAGGGAAGAGGAAGGAGGAGAAGAAAGCAUAUGUUUUGGGUGAAGAAUAAGAGUCUAAGAGAGGAAGUAUGGAGGAAGGGAAGGAAAGAGAAGGGGGGUAACCUCAAUGGAAGAUGGAGAAACAAAAUGAGGGAGAGGAAGGAGGAAGAAAAGAAGAGGAGCUGAAAGAAGGGAGACUAGGAUAUGAGAAGAAUGAAGUCACCAGAAUGGCUUAGUGGUAUCCAUAAGGGAGGGUGGUGAGCUUCAGGACCCGGCCCGUUAAGGAGAAUGAAGGCUCACCAUACAGAGCCCAGGAUGAUAGGAUGGCAAUAGUGGGCAAGAUUGGGUUUUUAAAGACCUCACAUCAAACCCAGCUUCUCAUACUUGGGGUUGCCCCUGUUCUUCACUUGCUUUUACUCUAUACACUCUUGUUCUGGUUCAUUUGGAUUGUGGAACAAGCGGAAUCCCCUGCCAGAGUGUGACAAGAAUGAAGUCACCAGCAUGGCUUAGAGGUGACCAAAAGGAAGGUGUUGGCCUGGAGAAGCUGGUCAGGUAAGGAGAAGAAAGACUUCCCAAGCAGAAUCCAGUGUGAUGGAGUAGCAAUAAUGGGUCAGCCUGGAUAUGUAAAGACCUACCAUGAAAAGCAAUUCCUCAUACAAGAGGCUAUCUCUGCCCUUUGCUUGCUCCUACUCUGGACACACCUGUCCUGGUUUGGAUUAUAGAGCCAGCAGCCUCCCUUGCCAGGUUAGAAUAUUUGGUAGACUUUGGUUCUAGAAUCAGCUCUGCUGCUAACUGUCACUAGUCACAUUCUUGUGUCUCAGUGUCCUGCCUUUUAAUAGGAAAGUAUUAUAAUAGUGGGAAUCUAUACUAAUAUUCAGCAGUGUGGAAUGUCUGCAGUUUGGGGAGGGUCUAAGGGUCCUUCAGGAAAGAGGGAAUAUGCACAGAUAAUGAAGCCAAUGUCAGGAAGUCACAGGGACCACUUGGCUUUGCUGCUUCUUUGGUCCAAUUCAUAACGCUGAUCCCACCCAUUUUCCCCAUUUGACCCUAAAGUCAAAAACUGGAUAGUUCAAGAAAAUGUACAUUAGAGAAACAACUACAAAGGCAAGCUCUACUUGGUCUAUCUGGAGGGUAUAAUUGCUUGUUUAUAGGGAAGGGAGCAGAAUAAAGUAGACAGAACAGGGAUGAAUUGGAGCUUA